rnacentral:lncRNA from 10 species
CACGGACAAGGCCUUGUGUGAUUAAAUAGGGUUAUAAUUAGUAAUAUAAAAAUGAGAAAUCACUAAUGCUUUUUAGACUUAACAUUUUCUUUUUUUGUAGGUUUCAGGCACAGAACUGUAUAUCCAAUAAUAGUGAAAUGGAUCCCACUAAUUAUGACAGAAAUGAUGAUACAUUUAAAUGACUUGGAUGUUUUAUAGGUAUGAUCUCGUGAAACCUUGAGAGAAACUGAAUGACGAAUGAAACUAUUGUUCCUGUUUCACACAGAAGAAAACUGAGGUUAAAAGGGGUUGGCACUCAUCAUGAGCCCCUGUUCUCAUUCUGCAAAUGGUGAAGCUCUCUAUUGUCCUGACCCCACAGUUCCUGUCCCAUGACCAGGGCCAGCUCACCAAGGAGCUGCAGCAGCAUGUAAAGUCAGUGACAUGCCCAUGCGAGUACCUGAGGAAGGUUGAUGGACGGAUGGCUACAUGGAUGUGAUGGAGAUGGUUUACUAUCGGGACCUUCCGCACCCUGCUGAUGUUUUGUUGCUUAGGAUAUGAAUGGCUGAGCGGAGGCUGUAAAACCUGGCACUCUGCUUGGGUAUGAGGUUCUUCCUGCCAUCCUGCCAUCAUUUGUUUUUUAUGUUUUGUCGCCAUAAGUGACCUUGAGGAACCCUGGGAGCUCAGGAAGGAAGGAGCGCCCAGAAGCAGGGACAGGGAGCUGGUUGGGGAGGACCAGAAAUCAGGUUAUCAAUACUCUGGCUGACCAUCAUCAUCGUGGGACUGACUUUGGUGGAAGUCCUUGGUUACAUGUCAUUAUUGCGUUUCCGACAAGUUAUAAAGUUGUCAUUACCCUCUGGAUAGUUUACCUUUGGGUGUCUCUCCUGAAGACUAUCUUCUGGUCUCGAAAUGGACAUGAUGGAUCCACGGAUGUACAGCAGAGAGCCUGGAGGUCCAACCGCCGUAGACAGGAAGGGCUGAGGUCCAUUUGUAUGCACACAAAGAAAAGAGUUUCUUCCUUUCGAGGAAAUAAAAUUGGCCUGAAAGACGUCAUUACUCUACGGAGACAUGUGGAAACAAAAGUUAGAGCUAAAAUCCGUAAGAGGAAGGUGACAACGAAAAUCAACCAUCAUGACAAAAUCAAUGGAAAGAGGAAGACCGCCAGAAAACAGAUCAACCACAUCCUUCAAAAGGACUAUGCCUGUUUAUAAGCCCAGCUGUUUCUGCCCUGUGAAACACGGAAAAUGUUUCAACGUGCGCAAGAGUUGCGGCGGCGGGCAGAGGACUACCACAAAUGCAAAAUCCCCCCUUCUGCAAGAAAGGCUCUUUGCAACUGGGUCAGAAUGGCGGCAGCGGAGCAUCGUCAUUCUUCAGGAUUGCCCUACUGGCCCUACCUCACAGCUGAAACUUUAAAAAACAGGAUGGGCCACCAGCCACCU